rnacentral:rRNA from 1 species
GGAGUGUGAGGAGCUUAAAUACCUUCAUGUUUUUGCAUAUUCGUACUCUUGGGUGUACUUGCCCGUGUGGUUGGUUAACAUCAAUUUUGGUGGUCAUAAAAUGACUGGAGGAAUGUAGUUUCGAUCUCGUAUUGAAGUGUUAUAGCCUUCGGUAGAUGUGAUGAUCGAGAUUGAGGAUUGCAACGGAUACCCUUCGGGGCUACCUUUCUGGUCUCUGAUCGUUGCUCUGGUGCCGAAAGCUUGCUUACGGUUAUCAAAGUCGAUGGUCAAAAGGUUAGAAUGGGUUAAA